rnacentral:lncRNA from 1 species
GACUUUGCCUUCUCCUAUCGAGUUCUAUGUAGGAGAUGGAAGGCUGACAUUACUGAGCAGGAGAUGGUUAAACUCCUUCUUAAGAACAUGGUUCCCCGCCUUGCUAGUCAACUUCGAGAACGUGUGGAAAAUGUGGAUGAUCUGGUGCGUCUUGGGACUCAGUUUGAGAAGGACUGGAAGCACCACCUCCAAACUAAAAACCCCGUUCCCUCAUCCCAGUAUACCCAUAACUCUCUUAGGGCUAAACCGUCUCAGAUAUUUGUACCCAAGAUCCAGGACAAAUGUCCAGUUGUGUGUUGGAGGUGUAAAGUCCAACAUCCUCCAGAUUCUUGCCCGCUCUAUGUCCAGCGUCAGGAUUCAGGAAAAGGUCAGAAAGGACCGAAGACUGAAAGUCUAGACAGGCGUGGUGGCUUGCAUACAAUUGGGUCAGCCUUAAUGCCCACCAUGAAGCUUUUAGACAGUACAGCUAGCGGUCUUAUUCCUAUUCCGCAACAACUAUUGGUUCCUCUGACUGUUAGAAACUGGAGAGGGAAGGCCAUAAUCGACACAGGGGCAUCUUACACCCUGAUGCAAGAGGCCCUGUGGCAGAACAUGGCAUUACCUCAUGAGGAGCUACGAACAUGGGAGGAAGGACCAUUGUACUUGGCCAAUGGAGAACCUACCACUCCCUGGAUUAGUAUAAUAAUAAAACUGCAUGGUGAGACUAUUAACCUUCCUGUGGCAAUACUUGCAGACUCAAGCCUUGCAUUUGCUGUAGUCCUUGGCCUAGACUUCCUGUUCUUCAGUGGACUGACCAUCUCUAUGUCCGAACCCUCCUAUCGGCUACACUCUGACUAUUCCCAGCCUCAUCCAUUUCAACCUGGUAAUGCACUGAUUUCAGGUUGGAGCCUGCUACAUUAUGCAGAGUCCGGACAAGGUCAAGUCAGAGACAGAGAAAAUAUAAAGAGACAAAGACAAAAACAUGUUCCACCAGUGAAGUCUGAGAACCGAACUAUCACCCUGAUUACCGCCGUACCUCCCCUUCUAUCCGAGAGCAAAAACAAACCUGAUGCGGAUUUCUACAUCAAGCAAGCGGUGGAACAGGCAUGUCUGUCGGAUGAUGAAAGGUGGCAGCUCUCCCAGAUGUUGGACAUGAACAGUGAGGUUUGUACUCUUACACUCGGCCGUACAACCGUCUUCAAACACAAAAUCUAUACCCGGCAUGAGGUCCCCAUUAAGCAGCGUCCCUACAGGCUGUCCCCCGCCAAACUGGCAAUUCUCAAUGAACAGCUCAAAAGCAUGUUGGAGAAUGGAAUUGUGGAACCUUCUUUUUCUGGAUGGGCUUCUCCGGUUGUCCUGAUUCCUAAGAAAGAUGGUGGAUAUCGAUUCUGUGUGGACUACAGGAAGCCGAAUGCCAUAACAGAAAGCGAUGCCUACCCUCUACCA